CGGGAGGCAGCAGUAGGGAAUCUUCCGCAAUGGACGAAAGUCUGACGGAGCAACGCCGCGUGAGUGAUGAAGGCUUUUCGGGGUCGUAAAACUCUGUUGUUAGGGAAGAACAAGUGCUAGUUGAAUAAGCUGGCACCUUGACGGUACCUAACCAGAAAGCCACGGCUAACUACGUGCCAGCAGCCGCGGUAAUACGUAGGUGGCAAGCGUUAUCCGGAAUUAUUGGGCGUAAAGCGCGCGCAGGUGGUUUCUUAAGUCUGAUGUGAAAGCCCACGGCUCAACCGUGGAGGGUCAUUGGAAACUGGGAGACUUGAGUGCAGAAGAGGAAAGUGGAAUUCCAUGUGUAGCGGUGAAAUGCGUAGAGAUAUGGAGGAACACCAGUGGCGAAGGCGACUUUCUGGUCUGUAACUGACACUGAGGCGCGAAAGCGUGGGGAGCAAACAGGAUUAGAUACCCUGGUAGUCCACGCCGUAAACGAUGAGUGCUAAGUGUUAGAGGGUUUCCGCCCUUUAGUGCUGAAGUUAACGCAUUAAGCACUCCGCAUGGGGAGUACGGCCGCAAGGCUGAAACUCAAAGGAAUUGACGGGGGCCCGCACAAGCGGUGGAGCAUG
rnacentral:rRNA from 1 species